rnacentral:lncRNA from 1 species
AUUCCAAACAUAACCUUAUAAACAAACAGUUGUUUAUUUUAGAGUUAUUUAUUAUUGUUUUCUCGUAUUUUGCAAUUGUUAAGUUGGUUUACUUCGAAUUUAAUAUGCAUUACUGUGGUAUUUCUCCAGUUUUCUAAGAAGGUUGGUGAUUUUGAAUUGGGAUUAUGAUGAAUUUAACCCAAAGGCAAUGUGUGUUUAUUUAUGUGGCAAAAUUCCAGGCACCAUAAAAAUUUGAGUUUCUUCCUGUUGCCCAUGGAUGAAAAUCGGUUUGCAGAAUGAAAAGAAAUUGUUCAAUGUGAUAAACUUUCUAUGAACAGUCCUCAAUAUUGUUACAUUGACUUUUAAAUAUGCACUUUACAUCUUGAGGAGCAGGCCUUUGCAGAAAUACUGAAAAAACGCAAAA